AGCGCAGGCGGUUCUUUAAGUCUGAUGUGAAAGCCCCUGGCUCAACCAGGGAGGGUCAUUGGAAACUGGAGAACUUGAGUGCAGAAGAGGAAAGUGGAAUUCCAUGUGUAGCGGUGAAAUGCGUAGAUAUAUGGAGGAACACCAGUGGCGAAGGCGACUUUCUGGUCUGUAACUGACGCUGAGGCUCGAAAGCAUGGGGAGCAAACA
rnacentral:rRNA from 1 species